rnacentral:tRNA from 1 species
GAUCUCGCCCUUAAAUGAGCACCAGAUUCCUAAUCUGGGGGUCGCGCGUUCGAAUCGCGCCGGGAUCACCA